CCCAGCCCAGUGGGCGGGCCGGGAGGCAGGGCCAGCCGGCUGGCUCCGCGCAGCUGCUCGGGCCGGGCGCAGGCGCAGCAGCCUGUUCCCCUUCGGGAAGCGGGUUCCGACCCGCAACGCUCCGUCAAUGAGCUGCGAGGUUGUUGCGCUGUACUUUGCCAGGAGCGCUGAAUUGGCAGGUGUUCGCUCUGAGAUUAUUUCUGUACCGCAACAAUUAACCUCUCUACAGCUGUGGGAAGAAAUUGUUAAAAGGCAUCCAAGACUUGCUGCCAUUCAGGAUCAAGUGGUUUUCGCUGUUCGCCAGGAAUACGUGCUUCUUGGUGAUCAGCUUCUGGUCCUGCAGUCAGGUGACGAGGUUGCCAUUAUCCCACCUAUCAGCGGGGGCUAACUCCAGGCAAACACGCUUAGGGUCUAGUGAUUUGUGGAUGACUUUCCCCUUCUGCUAGUACUCUCUGAGAAGGUGUAACACGCAUCCCCUGCAGUAGACAGCCAUGAUGCUGAUACUGAGGUUGGAACAGCUUUAAUGGGAGAGACUAAGGGAGGCCCAUGUCAGACUAUCCCAUAGCCUAGUAGCUACAGCACUCACUGGAGAGGUGACAGAUUCCUCUUCAAAUCCCUUUUUCCCUCAGGCGGUGGGACUCCUAC